UGUUCUCGUUUCUUGAAGGCCGAUCUUGUGGCCAAUUGUUUUGAAACAAUCUGACUUUCAGUUGUUUGUUCAGUUCUCCGUUCAUUCGCUUCUUCCACAUAAGGGCAAGAUAUUGCUGCUGAGGCGAGCAUAUCCAGUGGAGAAAUUAGAUGACUGGUCCACUCAUUCUCCAUUUUCUCCAUACUGAGUACUCUGCCAUUACUGCUCAGCUCAGGCAAUUACUAAAACCUGGGACGAGACAUCAUCGGUUUUAGCAACAACUGCGGGGAGGUCACUGCCCGAGCAAUAAUAUGUCCCGUCCUGUGUUUUAGCAACAACCCUCGGCUCACGCUCUGGGAGAACUGGUCCAACUGAACUUGCUUUCCUUUUCUUGUAUUUUUUUUCUUUAAUUGUUGGUACUGCACCCUCUUUCAAUACGGGCUUCUAGUCAACGUUCCUCAACAGAUCAGAGAUCUCGUACGAGUCUUCAGUAAAAUGUGCAGAGGAGAGACCACUUCGUAGGUGCCCAACGUGCCCGUGAACUUCUCGCAAAACGCAUCCAAAUCUUUGCAGUUUGAACAUUCUUGGGCCAUGAAUGCAAUGUAAAUCCACCUUCUGUCAUGUUGCUGCACCCUCCAGCAACACAUCUAUGUGGCAUGGCGAUUAAAUUAUCUCAAAAUGGAGGAUCGGAGUUGCAGUCAGCUGUGUUUUAGUAUAGCGGAAAUGGCAAUGAGACCAAUAGACUUCCUGUGGUGACGUCACGGACGCCAAGGUCAUUCACUCAGACCGCUACCUAUAUGAAUCACUUUAAUCGUAAAAAUGAUGACUAGAUUUAUUGUUAACGCUUAAAACUCUUCCUGUGCCAUUCUUGAGGUCUCAAGGCGUUUAUAAACCAAAAGUGAGGCCAUGGCUCUGCGUAUCUGCUUUUAAAUCUUUUAAGCAAUUGAAAGCAAAAUGGAAGUUGUGGAAAUUUGGAAGUGUGUAUGCAUGCAUAUGUGGAUUUCCAUGAUUCUCUGUCAUGACAGGCUUAAGUUAUGCAAGAAGACAAUUUGCUCCUCUGCUUCCUGCCAUUGAAGCUGUGUCAGAAAGCGAGGCCUCAAAAUGUGCUCCUGCACCCACUGCAAACCAGCGCCAAUCACGAGUUCCAGAAGUAAAUAAAACGGCAAGCAAAAGGCUGCCCGUGUCAACGAAAAACCCAGAAACCCAGAACAAGAAAGGAAAGUACGGCAAUGUGAAACGCCCCAAACAAACAGCUUUACCAGAUGAUUGAAGAGUAUCGGGAAACUGUGACAAGUCCCGCCGUCUUCGAGUGGCCCUGUUGAGCUUGACAGGAUCUGUGUGCGCGUUCGCAAGCGGCUGCUAAAUAAAGAAAGGAAUAAGGAAGAGAUUGAUGUGGUGACGAUCCAUGGAAACGGAGACCUCGUGUUGCAUAAGCUCAAGCAGAGAGUCGAUCUCACAGAGUACCUUGAAAGCCAGCCCUUCCACUUUGAUUACGUAUUUGACGAAGAAGCCGGUGUAACCCAUAGGAAAUGGUUACCAUUUAGCUAUUAUUAACAGUAAAAUGUUAUAGCACAGUUUGACCUCAGGGUGGUGCACGGGCACCAUAUUCAGCGGUUGUUAUGCCAACCACAUUAGUUCCUCGUUCCACCUUGACACCAAGAGUACACCGAGCCUAACGUCCGAAAGGAAAAGGUAAAAAUUACGUUGCGAUUGCCAAAUUCGCUGUUAAAUGUAAUCAGAUUCAAUGCUAAUUAGUUAUUUUAUAUCAAAGAUCUAUCCAAGAAGUGAAAGCCAACAUGAACAGCGUUCCAGUCUGUUGUAUUUUUCACCACGAAACUCCGGUAAGCAGAGCUACUUGUUAACUUGACCGUUAUUGUAAAAUCAAAUGCUGUGAUGUAGACCAUGAUAAUUACACUUUAUAAAAACCAAUCGGAGUCUGAUAAGCAAUAU